UUGUGAAUAAAUAAAUAAAUUGUAUAAAUUAGAAUACCUUGACCAAAAUUUUAACACAAAUAGUUAUCCAACUAAAACCAAUAACAUACUAGAACUAAAUUACUUAAAUAAUACUACCAACUUAUUCAAAUUAUGGAACAAAUGAUUAUGAUAUAUAAACUAUAAAAGCCUAGUUUUUAUCAACUCUCAUAAAUUAGUAAAAACAAUACCUUUUUUUCAUGUAGAAUACCAAAAUUGCCAUAUUUACUACUAAGGAA
rnacentral:lncRNA from 1 species